GCCUCCGUAGUCUAUCGGUAAGACACCCUGAUGUUAUAACAUUUUUCAAGGGAAAUAAUUGCAGGGGUUGAGGGUUCGAUUCCCUCCGGAGGCA